UACGUAGGUGGCAAGCGUUGUCCGGAUUUACUGGGCGUAAAGGGCUCGUAGGCGGCCAACUAAGUCGGACGUGAAAUCCCCAGGCUCAACCUGGGAACUGCGUCUGAUACUGGAUGGCUUGAAUCCGGGAGAGGGAUGCAGAAUUCCAGGUGUAGCGGUGAAAUGCGUAGAUAUCUGGAGGAAUACCGGUGGCGAAGGCGGCAUCCUGGACCGGCAUUGACGCUGAGGAGCGAAAGCCAGGGGAGCAAACGGG
rnacentral:rRNA from 1 species